rnacentral:sRNA from 1 species
AUGAGCGGAGCUGACGAAGGGAGAACUGACUCAUGGUGAGAAAAAAUCAGACCUUGCGAACCAAAUCUCUCUUCUCUUUUAACAAGAAAGUUAGUUACUACAAGUUUUUUUUUUCUUAAUCUUUAAAUCAUAAUUCAUUUGAAUUUUGAUUUUUAAUUAUGUUUUUUUUAUUUAGUUAAAAUUAAUAAAUUAAUUUUUUAAAUUUAUAUGCUGAUGUGUCAAUGCUACAGUGAAUUUUUAUUAUUAUUUUAUUGAUCCAUCAGUUUUCCCGUUAGUUUGGAGACGAAAUGGUGUUUCAAGGAUUAAAAUGUCCUGUGUUAAUUGGUUUAGGAACUAAAAGUGGUAAAAAUAAAAUGUAGGGACUAAAAGUGCAUUUACACUAAAAAAAAAAAAGGUUUAUUUUAUCUAUGCGUAGACAGGUAUUGAAGUCAGUGGAGAUCCAUUCUGGGCCGAAGCUAAAGCUGCAGUAUUAGCGUUCUCAUCUGCACAUAAUUUGGGCCUUGCUGCCUGGGCUCCUUUUUGUAACAGUCUCUGGGCCAUUUCCAUCUCCAUUUUUCUUCCCUUUGUGAAACGAACUUGGAAUCACUUUUUUUAUCCAACCUGGAAGUAAAUAAGCUAGUAUCAAAUAAGUCCUGCCCAACACAUACUAAAGAAAUUAUAUUUUUGGAAGAGGGAAAAAAAAGAGUAAUAAGGAAAUAUAUAAAUAUUAAAAAAUGCAGUUUGUAAAAUAGAAAAACAAUUCUACUACAAACAUCUCUCUGUGGCAAUUGGGCAGGUUGGGUAUGAUUUGGGUUGGGUCAUGAAUGAGUCAGGUAUAUAAUUACUCACUUAUCAAUUUAUGACUCAUUUAAAAAAAAAUUUUAAAUACCCAUUAUCUACCGAACUCAUUUAAUCUCCAACCCACCCAAUUAACCCAUUAUAAAACUCAUAUUCAGCAAUUCAACAAGAAAUUCUCUUACGGUGAAUUUUUUUUUCCCAGCAAAAUUGAUUCACCUUUCCCUCAGAACAUAAGAAUGUUGAAAUUGAAACUAACCUGUAGAUUUUCUUUUCUCCUAACUUUUCUUGGCAACCAAACAGAAGAUAAGUAAAAAAAUAUUAAUUAAAUCAUAAGAAUUUAGGAAUCAUUCUCAAGUCUCUAUCCACCUUGAUCUAAAAUGUGAAAAAUUGCAAAUCAAAUAGAUUUUUCAAUCCAAAACAAAUUCAAAUUUUCUCCAGAAAAUAUUUUCCCUCAAAACAAAUUAUGCCCUAAAAUCGAGCAAAAUAGCAAAUACACAAACGCCAAACUGAGCCUAAGAUAGCUAUUUUUCCCUUUCUCCUAAUUUUUCUCGGCAAACAAACAUAGGAUUAGUAAACAAUUAAGGAAAAUAUAGAGUAAUUACAGAUUGGUAAGACGUAUUCAAGUGGAUGAGAUCCAUGGCUUUGAUGCCAUGAAGUUCGAAUCAUAGUACAUUGUCUUGGAUCCCUCCAAUGUCGCUUUUGACGCCAAGAAUCCAAAUCAUAGACCAACGAUGUUUCCCCCAAUUUUCAUUCUGUGAUCUUCUUUUUGCAUGAGUGAGUGAGGUUUUGUGGGUGUUUUAUAAGGUAGAGUUGAAGAGGGAAAGGUGUUUAGAUUUUUUCUAGUUUGGUAGCUGAGAAAACGCUUAGAAAAUGGAAGAGAAAAUAUUUACAUUAGAUACAAGAAGAGGUGGUUGGCUGUAGCUGCUGUGAUGUUUUCUUGUUUGUUAGGGGUUUUGGCUUUUUGUUUUUUUAAAUAUUAAACUUUAAAUUUUAAAUGGGUAAUUGGGUACCCAAUGGUUGACCCAUCAAAGCUCAUUUAAUUGAAUUACCCAUUUGGUUCUUAUCCAUUUAACCCAGAUAUUUAAUUGGAUUGGGUCAAGACUUGUCAAAACUAAGUGAGUUAUGGGUAGGUUCAUGGGUUUGGAUAAAAAUUGACACCCAGAGCAACCGCAUCAGCUCUUCUAAAAGAUUCCGUCUUUUUACACAAAAAACCUACUUUUUCUAUUUUGCAUAAUCACUAUUACAAAACACCCACAUCAGUUCAUCUGUUAUACACUAUAUUUUAUAUAAAUAAUAUUUUUAUGAGUUGAAGAGAGAAAGAGUAAGUGGAAGAGAGAAUGAGAGGGAAGAUAAAUAAUACUAAAAUAAUGUAUAGAAGAGCUACAAUAACCGUGCAUAUAUGCACGGUUACUGUAACACUUGUGCAUUUAUGCACAAUUUUACACCCACUGAUGUGGGUGUUUUUUUGGACAAAAUGUGUAAAAUAAGCUACUUUUUGUAUUUUGCAAGACUUUGCAAGAGUUGAUAUGGUUGCUCUAAGCUACUCACCUUAUUUGUACUACCACAAAAAAAAAAGAAAAAAAAGAAAAAAAAAAAAGAAAAAAAAAAAGAGAUAGGGCGUGAAAAUUUUGAAAGAAAACUUUGUGCCUAUAACUUUUUCCAUUAAACAAGAUUUAUGAUAAUAGAGUAAAAAUGUAAAAUAGAUUUAGAGCUCAUUUAGCAGGGUAGCUUAAAAUAUAUUUGUUUUAAGAGGACCAAAGUGGAUCGAAUAAGACCAAAUGGACCAAAUAGAACCAAAGUGGACAGAUGGACAGAAUUGGACCUAUUGGACCAAAUAGGACCAAAGUGGACUGCAGAGGACUAAAGUGGACUGAAUAGGACUGAGGUGGAUUAAGUAGGACCAAAGUGGACAAGGUGGGACCGUAGUGAACUGAAUUGGACUGAAUAGAAACAAGGUGGACCGAAUAGACUGAAUAGGACUAAAGUGGACUGAAUUAGAUCUAAGUGGAUCAAAUAAGACCGAAUAGACCAAAUUAAUCAAAGUGGACAGAUAGACUGAAUUGGACCGAAUAGGACUAAAGUGGACUGAAGAGAACCGAAUUGGACUGAAGUAGACCGAAGAGAUCCAAAGCGGACAGAUUAAGAUCAAAGUGGACCGAAUAGAACCUUGGUGGACGUUAUUGGACCAAUGGACCGAAUAGAACUGCAGUAGACCGAAUAGAACCAAUGUGAACUGAAUAGAACCAAAUCGACCCAAUAGGACCUAAGUAGACCAAAUUGGACCUAAUACAACCAAAGUGGACAGAAUAAGACUGAACUAACGGAAUAGGACCAAAGUAGGCAGAAUGAACCGGAUAAGACUGAAUUGGACUGAAUAAGACAUAAAGGAACUGAAUGAACCGAAUAAGACCUAAGUGGACCUAAUAAGACUAAAAUAGACCGAAUGGGACCAAUGUGAACCUAAUAUGAUGAAAGUGAACAAAAUAGACUGAAUAGAACCGAAUAGAACCAAUUUGAACCGAAAAAGGCCGAAGAGGACUGAAUAGAACAAUGUGGACCAAAUAGGACCGUAAUGGACUAAAUAGAGCCAAGUUGACCAAAUAGGACCGAAUUGUUGGACCGAAGUUAUAAUAACAGUUUUAUAAUAGGGGUGUUAUUUAUUUAUUUUAUAUCCUCUUUCAAAAAAAUUGUUAUAAAAAAAAAAUGCUCUUUCAAAAAAAAUUUAUAUGCUCUUUCAAAUUCAAAAUAAAGAACAAUUGAUAUGGAAAAAAAUAAAAAAUAAACAAACAAACCGUGAGAUAUAUUAGGGAGUAAGGUGAAACGUAAAUUCAAAAAAAAAAAAAGAAGAAAAGAGCAAAAAGAAUUCAUGUUUUUUUUUUUUUUUGGUUAAAUUGUUUUUUAGUUAAAAUUGAGCUAAUAGAGAAGCUGGAGUUAAUGCCUCGGGCCCGUUCGUUUUGUUUGUAUUUCGUUGCUUUUUUCAGCUUCUGUUUAAGUAAAAAUCUUUAUUCAGAAAAAGAAAAAAAAAAAACAAAAACAAAAAAAAUCCUCACCACUUAAAAAUAAACAAAACAAAUUCAUUUUACAUUUUCAUUAGUAGACAGUGCAAAUUCAAACAUUUCAAGAAGAGACAGAGUUUGAAGAAGAGACUAGAAACUAGUAGUAGCGAGUAAGUGUAAGAAUUCUUAUAACUGUUUCAUCGUUUUUUCUUUUUGUUUUUCCUAAGUUUAUGUUUUGGGUGUGUUAUCGACAAAAUAAAUCUGUAUCUAUGAACUCCUUUUGUUGCUUCUCUUGUCCUAUGUUUUGACUUCUGCAAACUGGGUUUCCUAUGUUGAGAUUUUAUGUUUUGGGUUUCUUGAAUCUGUUUUCAGGUUGUUGAUUACAUGGGUGACAUCAAACUUGAAUGACUGGGUGUUUUGUUAUUCACUGUUAGCUCUUAGAAUUCGCAUUUCACAAUGAAAUUUGCUCUUAUAAGCACUAAUUCCACACACCCAUUUGCUCCAUUUUGUGCCUGUGCCUGCACAUCCUCAAACUCUAAGCAAAAGUAUCAGUAUCCAAAUCCAAAUACAACAUUCUUCAAACCCUUUACUUUGCCCACCAUACUAUCCUUGAAAUCAUCCCAUUCUAAGCCAUCCAGAUUAGUUGUGCUUUGUGCUUCCCGUGCUGCUAAACCAUCCAAUGCCGAAUUGGAGAAUAAUAGGUUGGAUGAGGAGGUGUUGAGUGAAGAAACCAUUGUUGAAGAUGAAAAUUCACAAAGCCAGUGGAAUGUGGAAGUGGGGAACCCCAUUGUUCCAGCCAAUGUUGUCAAAUUGAGCUUGAGCGACCAAGCCUUCUUGCUAUUGGCGUUCAUUGCCUGCACGGUACAAAGUUUCCAGUUUUUUAGUGUUAAUUGUGUUGUGAGGCUUGCAGCUUUCAAUAGCUUUAAUGGGGUUUCUUUGUUUGUUUUAAGACAUGUUUGGUUGCCCCAUUAGAAUAUAAUAAUGGAUCAUUUUGAUUCUCCAUUGCAUUGGAAGUGAAAAUUAAUCGCUAUUCAGAACAAGAUGAAGCAUUUAAUGACAAGAUUUUAACUUUUUCAACAAACUACAGGUUUUAUAAGGAAAUGAGAAUGACAUCCAAAGUUUUGCAAAAUUUACAGUUCCCCUUCCUAACGUUUUUAUAAAUAUAAAGAUGUACAAAUGAAAUUCCUAUUUCACCCUUGAGUUACCCUAUUUUUGUGUAGUAUCUUGCUUUGGUUGAGUGAUACAGUUCCUAAUUUGCCUUUGGCUUAUAGAUGAAAUCCUUAUUUUCCCUUUCUCAUCUGAUUCUACAAAAAAAGAGGAAUGUUUAAAUUGGUAAUUAAAAGGUCAAAAUAUGCAUUUCAUGGUAUUUGUUAUGUUUACCGCAAAUCUCAGGGAGGUUGCAAAAAUUUGGGGGUCACUAUUAUUUCCUUAUAUCUUAAGGGAGGUUGGGGUUAUUUUCUUAAAUUUUUUAUGUAUAUUGUAGCAAUGGUUGUAACUCUAAUGGCUAGUUCAAUUAACAACAAUGAUUUUUUGAAAACCCAUAACCAUAAAGAUAUAUCUAUUCUUGAGGAACAAAAUUUGGUACUUCAUACUAAUCAAAUUUGUUUAGGUAAUCUCAUAGUCCCUAGAGGGGGAAAAAUGAAAACAGCAAUGAUGUUAUUGGGAGUUUACAAGGGAGUGGAAAAUAUUUUCAGCUAAUGACUUACCUUUUGAAAGUUUGAAGUAGUUCAAUGAAAGUUGGGCAUUACUAUGAGCAGUAAAAUGAUUAUUGUUAAAAUCUAGCAAGCUAUGUUACUUCCAUUCUAAUUUGCAGGUAGUUAUGUAUCUUAGAAUUAAUUAAUAUUUUUUUGUAAUCUUUGGGAAAGGAGUAUAUGACAGAAAAAUUGGUUAUGAUUUGAGUAUGCUUUGAUUUAAACUUGUAGUAGGCACUAAGUGUUCUGUUUUUUGGGACAUAAUUGCUAGCUUAAAUUUUAUUGAAUUGACUAUGGUUUAUGUUAAUUUUCUCUUAUUAACAAUCAUGAAUAAUUUUCAAUAUGUGCAGACUUCUGUGGCAUUUACUAGUCUUGUUAUUGCUGCUGUCCCAACACUAUAUGUAAGUUGUCUUAUGUCUGACAUUGUGUUCUAGUUAAGAAUCUCUUUAUAUUGCAUGUCCCAGCAUUAUGUGUGAGAUAUAAUAGGUUUCACUUUUGUCUAUUUGACUACUUAUUCUUUUGCAUUUAGAAUUUGAGACUGGAUAAAUAAGAGAUGACUGGUUAAGUAUUUGUUCCAAUGAUUUCUAUAACUUUUAUGGCUCUUAAGUGACUUAGAAAUUCGACAGUUACUACUUACUAUCCAGUUUAUGCUGCCAUCUUCAUCCAUCCUCUUUUUGACCUUGUUGCCUUAUUGGUCCCAGAGAAGCUGAUCAAGUGUUUUGCUUUUGGUCCUUGUUAGGCCUGGAAUAGGCAACAAGAUGCUUUGCUUCCUUUAUGAUCAAUUGUUUUCUUUCUCAUGCUCUUUUCAGCUAAUUGCUACAGUUCGAUCCACCCCCCACUCCACAGUAACCACCUAAUCUCCUUCUUGCCAAUAGAUUUAACAGCCAGUAACAACUCUACCUUUCCUUUUUUCCUGACUUAACUGUUUAUAAACACAUAUGAUAUACAGAAACAUGCUCAAUAUCAGUCUGAUAUGGAAGAUGAAUAGUGUCAAAUCUGGUUUAUGUAAUAUAACAAUAGGUGCUAAUUUGUGUAGGUAUGCAUAUUCUUCGAAUUUUGAUUGCCUAAAUAAAAAAAAUGAUAUGCUAGGCAAAGCUUGCUUAUACCUUCUAAUAGUUAAGGGUUUUUUGCACUUUGUGUUUUUGCAUGAGUGUUUGAAUAAAGAAAGAUUAAUGCAUCAUUAGGAAUUUGAAAUUUUAUCUGUUUUCACAUUUUACACUUUUUUCUAGGUAGGUUUUGUUUAUACACUAAAUUAAGUGUAUGAAAAUUGGGAUUUUAAAAUUCGUGUCAUGUCUCCUAGAGGAGAAAACUUGAGUGUCAUUUUUUUAUUGUAUGAGGCAUUGGUUUAGGUGCUUCUUGUCUCUCUCUCUCUCUCUCUCUCUCUCUCUCUCUAAGUAAUAAUGAUUUAUAAAAGAAGGUGUUCUACAUUUGUGUCACAGAAAAUAUUGCUAUCAUCAGCAAAUCGAAGAUGAGAAAUGCUAUCAUCAGCGAAUCGAAGAUGAGAAAUUAACAAGCUAUUAGGAAUUUAUUUCUUGCUUGAAAGCCUGGUGCAUAUGCAUCCUCCAUAGCUCUCACUAAUGUUCUUAACACCUCCUCCAUAACUGUCUUCUUUCUAAUAAUUAGAUUUCACCACACUGUUUUUAUAUUUCGGUUAAGAUGUCUAUCUAUAUAUCUGUGUGUCUUAGAGCAUUCUUAUCAAGGUUUGCAAAAAAUUUAGCAUUUACUAUCUCAAAUCCCAAUUUUAUAACGUAUAACACCCCACUUUACAACAUCUCCUCCAUCAAAACUUCUAUUUUUUUUAACAUUCCAUUUAAAUAUUCUUUCUUUAUCAUUUUUUAUUUUUCCUUCUCUCUCCUUUGUCUCUCUCUUUCUCAAUUGAAUAAAAAAAGUGGGCCCCAAUUGAAUAAAAAAAUAAUAUACAUUUUACCAUUUGGUGAACAGUGCGGUUUCAAAUAUGAAACCACACUGUUCAUCAAUGCCAAAAUUUUUGGCAUUUGAAACUCUUGAUGGAGCAAACUUUUGGGUAAAAAAUGCUAAAAAAAGCAUCUUUUAGCAUUUAAAACCCUUAAUAAGAAUGCUCUUAGUGUAUUCUUUUCAACACUCAUUUUUUUAGGAUCCCACUCAAGCUGUGUCUUGUAAUGAAUUUUUGGCUUUUUACUCAUCUUCCUUUUCUAAAAUUUUGGGAUAGUGUUUUUGUCCUGAUUCUGCUUCCACUUUUAGUGGUUGUAGGGCAUCUAUACUCUUGUCUUUUCGAUUGAUUCUUGUAAACUUGCCUCCCCACUGCCGCCCCCCCCUCCCCUUUUUUUCCCUCCCUCCCUCUUUUCCUUUGGGAAAAAAAAAAAACUCUGUUUUACCUCUUAGUUGAGACAUAUCUGGUGGUUGUUAGAUGUUUUGAGAAAUGCUUGUGGUGCUCGAAUUGUAAGAAGGUUGGCUUUGCCACUGUAGAUUAUCUCCAGAAAUAUAUUGUCUCACAGCUGUGGUGGGAAUUGUAAUGGAAAAACUCUCCCUUGGGUGAUAAGAAUGUUGCUUAAUUUACUUUAUGCUCACUGUUGGCUGGCCAACAUUAAUGUGAAGCGUUGGUGGUGCAUAGUAAUGAAGAAGGUCUCCGCACAUCUUGCUUUUGGGGCCAUGAUGUGAAAACUGGCUUUUCAGUUUCUAGAUAGGUGGACUUGCUGAGGGUUUUGAUGUAUUGUUCACAUUAAUUUAAUUUGAUGCUCUUUGGAUAAUAUUUUCCUCAAAACACGUCCAAAUUUUUUCUGUUUAAAUAAUCUGAUUAUUUUUAUUGAUUAGUCUAUGAAUCUGUAAAUUUUAGGGGCAACACCAAGAUCUUUAGGUUCUAACAUUAAAGUCCAGAGUUGUAAAGAUAUGAUUUUGAUUAUUGAUAUUCAGAUAUACUACUGCCUGAGAACAAUGUCAGAAAUUUUUUUUGUGGGUUGUAUCAUAUAAUGUCUAAAUUUUGGAGAUGCUGCUGCUAUCUGUGUUGGACUUAUGUGGUUAUGCCCUCAUUUGAUUCUCUGGUCUGACAUAAUAAUGUGAGUUUUCUUUUAUGUCCCAGAUAUAGGAAUUCUAGAUGGUCUUAAAUUUUUAUUUGGCCAAUACUUCAUGUUCCAAAAAUUUGCAUACUUGAUCAGAAAAUUAAUAAUGUUUAUCAGACUUCAAUUGCGAUCUGUUUCUUGCACAUUUGAUCAUUUGAGACUUGCAAUUGUGAUAGACAUUUGAAGUGUCUUAUUCUUGCAUCAUAAUCUGUUAAUGGUGUACUAAUAACUCUGAAGCUAAUUUUUUUUUUUUUUAGCUUAAGAAUUGUGCAAAGCAUCUUCCAUUCAUGUUUUGAAGAUGUUUUCAAGUUAUUUAGAUUAUAAUUUGGAAAUUAUAAGGUUUGUCAUAUUGCAAAGCUUUAUUUAUGCCUUUCUAUCUGCUUCAUUCUGAUGUUUGGGAUUGUCUCUUGCUCCCCCCCUUCCUCUUUCACUUUCCCCUCUCUCUUAUUUUUAGUAGAUUCUGAUUGUAGAUAUAUAAAUCUUCUGAAGCUUGAUGACAAAGUUUUUUUUCCCCUUUAAACAUUGGUUCUUAUGUAUCUUUUUUUCCUUUAUAUCCUCAAGGCAAUGGGGAGAGCUGCAACAUCUCUUUCAAAGCUAGCAGAUACAGCUCGUGAGGAGCUCCCUAGUACUAUGGCUGCCAUUAGGCUAUCUGGCAUGGAAAUCAGCGACCUUACACUGGAACUAAGUGAUUUAAGGUGAUAGUAAGCUCCCUACUUUGGAUUAUCCUUUUAAUUUUUUUUCUUCCUUUAUUUCAAUUUUUGGUUGUUUUGUGGAAUGCUAUGGGUAAAUUACCAUAAUUCUUUUUGCUUUGUUGCACAUGUUUAUCAUAAGCUAUACAUGGACUUCCUUCUGUAAUCUGAAAGGACCUUCCUUAAAUUGUUACUUGGGUCUCAUAAAUCGUAAACGGGAUCCCUUCUGUUACCUUGACCUUCUUCAGGGGUAUACAGUAUCUAUGUAUAGUCCAGAGAAAAAAACCAGGAGUCCUGUAGCCCCAUCUUGCUGGGUAAAACACUUUGUUUCUUAAUUGAAUAGUUUAUUAUGGAAAUGAUUGUUGUACUCUAUGUUUGUAUUAUUCUCAUUUCUGCUGUUUCAUCGAUGAUGCUUUAAUAUUAAUAUAUGUUUAUUCCAUUUGGUGCUCAGCCAAGAGAUAGCUGAUGGGGUCAGCAAAUCUACUCAAGCUGUGCAAGCGGCAGAAGCUGGAAUUCGACAAAUUGGUGCAGUUGCUCGCCAGCAAACUAUCUGUAUGUUGGAGCUGCAACUUUUCUUCUUCUACCCCCCCUCCCCCCCCUUCUUUCUCUCUCUCUCAAACCCCAACUCUCCUUUUCAAUUUUGUUUCUGGUUAUUAAUAUUGUUCCCCUUUCCUAUAUUGAGUACUGUUAUGUUUGUAUGAUACAGCAAUGAUUCAAGAGAGAGCGAACCUGCCCAUUAUCUCUUUGCAACCUGUCGUCGCUGGAGCUGCAAAGAAGACUUCUCAUGCUGUUGGCCAAGUGACAAAGACCUUCAUGAAUAUGAUCUCUCGGGGGGAGUUCAGCUCAGAGAAUGAAGACGACAGUGGAAUUGAUAGAGUGGAGAUUUAA